ensembl:lncRNA
AUGGUGUGGCCAAAGGGUUCACUGAUGUUUUGUCAUCGUUGCAAGUUUUCAGAUGCUCUCCAGUCAGUUCUUCCAAGGCACCAAACACUGCCAUAUGACCAGACCGCUCCACUGCAACUACAUAGUGUGUAUGUGUGUGUGUGUGUGUGUGUGUGUGUGUGUGUGUGUUUGUGUGUGUACUUUCA